rnacentral:rRNA from 1 species
UGAGCAACCUGCCCUUGACUCUGGGAUAACCCCGGGAAACCGGAGCUAAUACCGGAUACGAACCACCCAGGCAUCUAGGUGGUUGGAAAGAACUUCGGUCAAGGAUGGGCUCGCGGCCUAUCAGCUUGUUGGUGAGGUAAUGGCUCACCAAGGCAUUGACGGGUAGCCGGCCUGAGAGGGUGACCGGCCACACUGGGACUGAGACACGGCCCAGACUCCUACGGGAGGCAG